rnacentral:lncRNA from 1 species
CGCCCUACCCAUGUAAUUAUCCCUCCUCACAUUUCUUGACCACAAAGGAAAAGAAAAAUGGACAGCUGUACAAAGUUGAGGCCAUUUUUACUCUCUUUUGGAUUUGAGAGGAAAAAAAACAUACAAUAUAUUUUCCAGGGGGCCCACAGAUUUUCUUCCACUAGAAAUACCCUCACAAGUCAUCUUCUUCAGAGGGACAAUCUUCAUAUUCACGCACCAGCUCACAGAAACAAUACUAAUACACACACCAGUGAGAGAGAGAUAUAGACGCACACCCGCAGAGAGAAUCAUAGGAGAAAGAGAGAAUCGGGAGAGAGUGAAUAAAAAAGGGGUUGAAUAGUGGUCGGUUGGCGUGAACAGUAAACGUUGAACGGAGUAGGGGGAAGAACAGUUUUUCCCGGUGAGCUUGUCACUGGAAUAGUGCCUCAUCGUAGAGUCCGUCCACUCCUCCCUAAAACUCAAUCAAAACCAGCUUCAAACCCCCUAAAAUUAUGACGCUAGUGCCCGACUACUCCGCCGCCACCGCUGUUACUAUUUCGGCAAUGAAUUUUUCGCCUGGAAUGAGCCAAAUCGAUCAAAAUCGUCCCAAAAAUAUUGAGAAAAUAGUGAGUUCACCUUGGGUUUUCGACAGUUAAGUUAGAGGUCUGUUUGUGAUUUGGUAUUGGAAAAAAAAGGAACAAAGGGGAUAUAUCGAAGUUGGAGUUGUUCGUUUGGUGAGGCUCGAUCUGAGAUUAUGGACGCGAUCCAAUCGAAAGGAGCAACUUUAAUCGAAAGCAACAUUUGAGGUUCAAUUCUAUCUUCUCUAUUUUUUUUGUAGUUUUUAACAUAAUUAUGAAUGAUUUAUGUGUUUGGCAUGUUUGAAUCUUCGUUAUGUGUGGGUUGAUGUUGGAUUUGGAUAUGAAAACUUGAUCGGUGGAUUGUAUAUUGAAUUGGUUUAAUCGUGUUAAAAAAGUUGAGGCGCGAAUUGAAAAUUUACUAAAGUGAAUUAGGAUUAAUUUUGAUUUAUUGUUAUUUUGAUUCAUUGACGCCAUCGAUCAUGAUAGUGCCAUGAUAGGUCGAGUUAGGUAGGCAAAAGUAGGCUGGGUAGGCAAAGUUGAGGACCUGUGAUUGUUGAAAUGAUGAAAUAUUUGUGGAGUGGUUUUGAUUUAUGCACUGAGAUCUAUUGUAUUCAUUUGGCCGGGGAAUGCCCCGAGGGAUUUGUAUUGAUUCACCGGGGAAUGCCCCGACGUAUCAUGUAUUCGGAGGACGUCCGUGAUGAAGGCCCGAAGCAUCGGGUAAGGCAUUGGACAUAGUUUAGGAUUAGUGUAGGUUAGCGUAGGUUUAUUUUUCAGUACCUUUUUUAUCAUUUCGGGUUGUAAUAAUUGGACUGGACAUUAUUAUUUUGAUUUUUGGAUUGUUGUUUGAUGUUUGUUUAUGUGCUUUGUGUGGUUUAUAUAUUUGUGGUGUCUAAUUAGCCGAUACUCUCCACCAAGAGACCAUGGUCGAACCACGGGACCGAGGGGUGCCUAACACCUUCCCCUCGGUCAACAAAAUUCCUUAGUUGAAACCUCUGUUCGCGGAUCAGUUUUACAGAGUCAAAAUCGUUUUGAAAAGGAUUUUCCAAAGGUGACUUGGCACACCGGAUUAUGCCAAGUGGUGACUCUGAGUUUUGAAUAUAAAUAAUUCUUUUCGAAAUAAAUUUUUAUUUUUUGUCACUUUGAUAAUAAAAAUCCUUUCAAACUUAAAACGAAAUCUUUUUUGGGUAAAAAAAGGGUGUGACAGCUCUGGCGACUCUGCUGGGGACUUUUUUUUAGAAUUCAAGCUUAUUUUGGAGUUGUAUCGACUUAGUUUGGCACUAUAGGUAUAUAGACAUUUUGUUUGUGUUGUUUUGUGUUAUUGUUUAUCAUUGUUGAGUGCCUACGUGCUCUUUGUUUACAAUUUUUAUUUUAUGUGUUACCGUUUUAUAUCUGGCAUCAUGUGUAUAACCCGAGCCAUUCUUUCUGCAACAAGUCUAUAGUAUACGCUAUGUACACGACCUCUAGUUGAGUCACCUUUAUCUUAGGGGGGAGUCUUCGACUGGUAUGGAGUGGGUGGAAAGCUAAAACAACCACUAUCGACCAUAUGCUCUCCCGAACAGCCUUGUUAGUGAAUCCCAGCGUAGGUCAGCUUUUAGGUCAUGCUUAUCUGCAUCAUAUUGAGACCUAGCGGGACUCACUUGGUCUUUUGUAGGAGACUCACCUCUAAGGCAUCCCUACGUGCUAAAUGUUACAUCUUUGAGGGUAACGUGGUCAUUUGACGGACUAAUUUAAGGGAAAACAUGUGCUAGAGGUAAAGUGCGUAGACAAGAAAUCAUUUGAAAAAAAAAGGAGUUUCGUAGCUUUUAGUGUUCUUUAUGACUUUUGUUUCCCACAAUUCAAAAAUUCAAAAAGAUUUCUUUAUUUUCUGCACUCAUUUUUUUAAAAACCAAAACAUCAAAAAGAUUUCUCACUUUGUCUCCUUUAGCAUGCAUUCAUAAUUAGAAAUUUUCAAAAAAAAAAAAAAUUAGCAGUUUUUAUAAAAGAAAUUGAAAAAUGGUGAAAGAUUUGUACAUUUCAUAUAGUGAAAAUGUCAAAAAGAUUUUCCUUCAUAAUUGUUGGUGUCAGUUUAGCUGAAGUAUCUAAUUAAAAACCCAAAAAUAUUUUAUUCAUUUGUCUUUGGUUGUGUCUCUUAAGUUAGGGUCAAUUUGUUAGACUAUCGUUAAUUGUACAAUCUGGACGAACUACGCACCCGUGAUUCUGCUCUCUCCGGAGUGAGAUACAUAGGUAACCUAUUUUGGGUUGGGGAUCUUAUUUCAAAAAUUCAAAAAAAGAUUUUCUUCACUCUUCAUUUAGAGUAGGUGUUUCAUGUACAUCUUUAAAAGAAAACAACAAAAAAAUAUUUCCCUUUAAUAGGUUCAGGUUUCAUUUUCAUAUGAAAUUCAAAAUCAAAAAUCAAAAAAUAUUUUUUUCGGUAAUCAUAGAUUUCAUUUUGUACAGAAAUCUGAAAAAUUCAAAAAGAUUUUCUUCACUCUUCACUUAGAGUAGGUGUUUCAUAUACAUCUCUAAAAAACUACAAAAAGAUUUUUCUUUAAUAGUUUGAAGUUUCAUUUUCCUAUGAAAUUCAAAAUCGAAAACCCUAAAAGAUUUUUAUUUGGUAAUCAUGGGUUUCAUUUUGUAUAGGGAUGUUAAGACUAAAAAAUGCAAAAAAAGAUUUUCGUCAAUUCUUUUGACAAUUUGUUAUUUUCUUUUCUUCUUAAAGUUUCAAAAAGAAAACAAAGAGUUCAAUUGGCCGUUUUGGCACGACUUAACGAACUACGCACACCUGAUUCUCCUCUCUCGGUGGUGAGAUACGUAGGUGCCCUUCUUGGGUUCGGUGAUCUUUUCAAGAAAAAAAAGGGAGAGAGAGGUUUUGAAAAAUGUUGAACUCUAACAUAUUUGUUGCCUCUUGUUCAGUUAGUUUAAGGUGGUUGGUUUGUGGCUUACUGGUUGGUCCUCCAUAUCACACCAAAUCCAAGGAGGGGUUAGUUGUGUCCAACAAGGAUAUAGAAAGUGGCAUCAUGGAUGAAACAAAGAUUCAGGAAAUUGAGAGUUUAAAGAAAGAGAAUUUGAGACUGAGACAACAAGUGAUGGAAAUAUACCGAGCUUGGACCAGUGGGCUGCCUCCACCUCUGUUUCCCACUUUUGGCCCUGCAAAUACCUUGAGUCUUCCACCAAAAUCGUAAAGUCAGUUUCUGUCUUCUUAUCCACAAUGGCAUGCUCCUGUCCCUCAACAUCGUCCUCGACCCCCACGAAUUUACCAAGGAACCUCUAAAUCCAAGUUUCAUCUAAGGCUAGAGUUAGUGUUGUAAAACAUUUCAUAAGUGAUCUUUAUCGUGCAAUUUUGUAUUGCAUGCUAUGUACUAGCAUUUUCAAAAAUUGAUAUGACGAAGGCAUUUCAUUCUGCUUUCCAAAUAUUGUGUCAUCCUUUGUUUACCCCAUUUGGGCCUUAGUGUUAUUUUCUUUUAUACCCCUCUUUUGGAAUCAAGAUAAAGUCAACAAAAUCCAAAAAAAGUGUCGAAAAAGAAAAAAAAGAUGAGUGUCAAGAAAAAUAAAGUCAGAAAAGUCCCAAAGAUAAAAAGAGUCGACAAAAGAAAAAAAAUAGAAUCAAGUGAAAGAACAAGUUGCCAGAACUACGCAUGACUUGAUUCUCCUCUCUCGAGGGUGAGAUACGUAGGCUGCCUUACUCAGGGCUCGGUCCAACCAAAUAAAUAAUUUAGAAUUGCCCAGUCAAAAAUUGGGGCUUGAGUUAAUCCUCAUUGUUUGAGUCGAUUCCAAAAGUUGUAAGUCCUACCCCACUUUUAGUAUUGUUUGGGCCCCAUGCCAUCCUUUAUUUUCAACCCUAUCCAAAAGCCAAGUUACAAUCAAAGAAAGACCUUCAGAUCAAUCUUUGAGAAUGUUAAGGCUAAGUAUGCAAUGGAUGUGAUGACACAUUUUGAGAACUACUCGUCUUCCUCAGCAUAAAAAAUCAGGAGAGAAAUAAAAAUGAGAGAGUUUUAUUGGUGAAAACCCUCACGGGCACCAUAAGGAGAUGGUAAAUUAAGAAAGAUAAAAAUGAGAGAGUUUUAUUAGUGAAAACCCUCACAGACACCAUAAGGCGAUGGUGAGUUGAGAGAAAAAUGAGAGAGGCUUGUUUGAGAAAACCCUUCAAGGUGCCACUAGCCGAAUGAGGUCUCCGAAUGCAAUGGGUCUAAGUAAGAAACUCAGUUUCAGGGCCAUUAACUCAACAACAAUUGGUAGAAAGUUUGGAUGAAAAGAUCAGGCUGCUUAAUCCAAAAUGCACAGUAUAAUUAUUAGAGUUGACUGUCAUUUUUAGAUUAAUUUAUUGUUUCUUUGUUACAAAUGAGGAUAUUCAUUUUCUUUCCUUUCUUUUCUUUAUUUUUAUUUUAUCUUUCUUGAGUCAGUUAUCCAAAUAAAAAAAUUGUCUUUCUUUUUUUUCUUUUCUUGUCUUUGAGUCAAGUCCAUGUCAAAACAAGUGAGAAAAGAUUUUAAAACUGGCUAUCAGCUUCUUCAAUUGCACAAAGCAAGACAAAAGGGACAGCACAUGCAAAAGACAUGAUUGUGAGCCGAAAUAAGGCAUACAAAAAUUGUGUCAACAGACAAGUUUGGGAACUCAUGAAAAUACCAAGGUUCAAAGGGUUUAUAUGAUGAGCAUGACGAAGCAGAGAUAUCAUUUUAUUUCAGAGUCACUUUUAAUAAACUGAAUUUAGGUCAAUGAUGCAGCAAGUCAAUGAUAAAUGCUAAUGGUUGGAAGCAAGGUUAAAUGUGAUGGGGCAAGAGCGAUCGUCGCGAAAGCUAAAGCCACAAACCAGCCACCGUGUUUUAAACUCACAAGUUUUCUUUGAUGAAAUAGGAAACAUAUUACCUUCAAAGCAAGGACGUCAGAGCAUAAAUAUCAAGGCUUUCAAUGCCUCACGUUUAAAUAUGCACGAAGAAAUGUUGCUGCACAGGUUUGGUAAUCAAAUCAUUGUAAAAUUCAUCAUCUUAUAUCCCUCGGAGACACAUUUUCUUGUCCAGGGAUUUCAUUUUUCAUUUGCUGGGUGAUACACUUCUUAAAUUGAUCCUUCACUCCUAAAAGACGUACCUUUUAGUCGAGUCAUCCCCUUUGACCCCAAAAGACGUACCUUUUAGUAGAGUCAUUUCCUUUGAUUCCUAUAAGACAUACCUUUUACUCGAAUCAUUCCCGCUUGACUCCUAGAAGACGUACCUUUUAGUCGAGUCAUUCCCCUUAACCCCUAGAAGACGUACCUUUUAGUCGAUUCAUUCCUUUGAUUCCUAUAAGACGUACCUUUUAGUCGAGUCAUUCCUCUUGACCCCUAGAAGAAGUACCUUUUAGUAGAGUCAUUUCCUAUGAUUCCUAUAAGACGUACCUUUUAGUCGAGUCAUUCCUCUUGAGGCCUUGACCCCUAGAAGACGUACCUUUUAGUUGAGUCAUAUCCCUUGAUUCCUAUAAGAUGUACCUUUUAGUCGAGUCAUUCCCCUUGAGUCCUUGACCCCUAGAAGACGUACCUUUUAGUUGGGUCAUAUCCCUUGAUUCCUAUAAGACGUACCUUUUAGUCGAGUCAUUUCCUUUGAUUCCUAUAAGACGUACCUUUUACUUGAGUCAUCACCCCUUGAUUCCUAUAAGACGUACCUUCUAGUCGAGUCAUUCCCUUGAUUCCUAUAAGACGUACCUUUUAGUCGAGUCAAUUUCUUUGAUUCCUAUAAGACGUACCUUAUAGUCGAGUCAUUCUCCUUGAUUCCUAUAAUGAUGUGACUUUCACAAAAGUCCUUUGAUAAUAAACUGGGGCAAAAUUUAAUUCUUAUUUUUGGAACUUUACUUUUCUGGCAAACAAAAUUUCUCUUUAUGAAAAACUUUGUUUGGGAUAAUUUUCUUGUUAGUUUUGAUAUGAUUUCAGAAGCCCGCCUGAAGAACAGGGUGAUGAGAUAGAAAGUCAGGAGCCCACCUGAAGAACAGGGAUGAUGAAAUGGCAAGUCAGGAACCCGCCUGAAGAAUAGGGUGAUUAAAUAGUAAGUCAGGAGCCCUCCUGAAGAAUAGGGCGGAUAAAUGGAAAAUCUAGAACAAGGUGAAAAAAAUCUGAAAAAACAAGCAAAAAGGUGAAGCAAUUGAAAGUCAAGCAACAAGUUGAAUAAAUUGCAAAUCAGGAGCCCACCUGAAGAAUAGUGUGAUGAAACUUAAGUCAAGAGUCCAAAAGAAGAUGCAUAGAUAGAAUUUCUGUAAUUUUAUUUAUGUUUUUAACUCGUAAUUUUCAUUUUGAUGUAAUGAUAGAGCUGUGGACCGAAACCUUGAUGGAACCUCACUCGACUCUCCAACUCGGUAUAGUCCUUCUCUUUCAAAUAUUUUGAAAUACUGGUCCCUUGAUUCCUCCAUAACUUCGGUAGAUAGGUUGUCCUAAGUCAGGACUCGGUUGUCUUUCUUUCUUUUGUUCCUUCCUUUGAAUAAUGAUCGGGUCAAAAUUCUGUCUUGUUGUCUACUAUUUUGUCUGAAAACACUUCGUGUUUACAUUCAAAGGGGGCAUGAGGUAGACACCUAAUUUUGUCCCUCCUAAAGACCCAAGUUACACAUUUUAUCCUCGUUUUACCACGCGCCCUACCCUAUGUAAUUAUUCCUACACAAAAUGAUAAAUAUAACAACCCUUAGCAAAUUUUAUCUUUGUUCUAACAACCUCCUCAAUUAAAAGCGGACACCUCACCACCCCACUACCCCAUCCACGUGACCCUCCCUCCUCACAUUUCUUGACCACAAAGGAAAAUAAAAACGGACAACUGUACAAAGUUGUGGCCAUUUUUGCUCUCUUUUGGAUUUGAGAGGAACAAAAACUUACAAUAUAUUUCCCAGGGGCCCCACAGAUUUUCUUCCAUUAGAAAUACCCUCACAAGUCAUCUUCUUCAGAUGGACAAUCUUCAUAUUCACGCACCAGCUCACAGAAACAAUACGAAUACACACACCAGUGAGAGAGAUAUAUAGAUGUACACACUCAUAGAGAACCAUAGGAGAAGGAGAGAAUCGGGAGAGAGCGAAUAAAAAAGGGGUCUGAACAGUGAUCGGCCGAUGUGAAUAGUAAAUGCUGAACGGAGUAAGGGGAAGAACAGCUUUUCCCGAUGAGCCUGUCACCAAAAAAGUACCUCAUCGUAGAGUCCGUCCACUCCUCCCUAAAACCCAAUCGAAACCAGCUUUAAACUCCCUAAAAUUGUGACGCCAGUGCCCGACUACUCCGCCGCCGCCACUGUUACUGUUCCAGCGAUGGAGUUUUCGCCUAGAAUGCACCAAAUUGGUCAAAAUCGUCCCAAAAAUAUCAAGAAAACAGUGAGUUCACCUUGGGAUUUCAACAGUUAAGUUAGAGGUCUGUUUGUGAUUUGGUAUUGGUGAAAAAUGGAACAAAGGGGAUAUAUCGAAGUUGGAGUUGUUCGUUUGAAGAGGCUCGAUCCGAGAUUAUGGAUGCGGUCCAAUUGGAAGGAACAACUUUAAUCUAAAGCAACAUUUGAGGUUCAAUUCUAUCUUCUCUAUUUUUUUUUAGUUUUUAACAUAAUUAUGAAUGAUUUAUGUGUUUGGCAUGUUUGAAUCUUCGUGAUGUGUGGGUUGAUGUUGGAUUUGGAUAUGAAAACUUGAUCGGUGGAUUUUAUAUUGAAUUGGUUUAAUCAUAUUAAAAAAGUUUGGGCGCGAAUUGAAAAUUUUCUAAAGUGAAUUAGGAUUAAUUUUUAUUUAUUGUUAUUUUGAUUCAUUGACGCCGUCGAUCAUGAUAGUGCCAUGAUAGGUCAAGUUAGGUAGGCAAAAGUAGGUUGGGUAGGCAAAGUUUAGGAUCUGUGAUUGUUGAAAUGAUGAAAUAUUUGUGGAGUGGUUUCGAUUUAUGCAUUGGGAUCUAUUGUAUUCAUUUGGCCGGGGAAUGCCCCGAGGGAUUUGUAUUGAUUCACCGGGGAAUGCCCCGACGUAUCAUGUAUUCGGAGGACGUUCGUGAUGAAGGCCCGAAGAAUCGGGUAAGGCAUUGGAUCGUAGUUUAGGAUUAGUGUAGGUUAGCGUAGGUUUAUUUUUCAGUACCUUUUUUUCAUUUUGGGUUAUAAUAAUUGGACUGGACAUUAUUAUUUUGGUUUUUGGAUUGUUGUUUGAUGUUUGUUUAUGUGCUUUGUUUGGUUUAUACAUUUGUGGUGUCUAAUUAGCCGAUACUCUCCACCAAGAGACCAUGGUCGAACCAUGGGACCGAGGGGUGCCUAACACCUUUCCCUCGGUCAAUAAAAUUCCUUAGUCGAAAUCUCUGUUCGCGGAUUAGUUUUACAGAGUCAAAAUCAUUUUGAAAAGGGUUUUCCAAAGGUGACUUGGCACACCAGAUUAUGCCAAGUGGCGACUCUGAGUUUUGAAUUUAAAUAAUUCUUUUCAAAACAAACUUUCAUUUUUUGUCACUUUGAUAAUAAAAAUCCUUUCAAACUUAAAACAAAAUCGUUUUUGGGUAAAAAAAAAAGGGUGUGACAGCUCUGGCGACUCUGCUGGGGACUUUUUUUUAGAAUUCGAGCUUAUUUUCAAAUUGUAUCGGCUUAGUUUGGCACUAUAGGUGUAUAGACAUUUUAUUUGUGUUGUUUUGUGUUAUUGUUUAUCAUUGUUGAGUGCCUACGUGCUCUUUGUUUACAGUUUUUAUCUUAUGUGUUACCGUUUUAUAUCUGGCAUCAUGUGCAUAACCCGAGUCAUUCUUUCUGCAACAAGUCUGUAGUACACGCUAUGUACACGACCUCUAGUUGAGUCACCCUUAUCUUAGGGGGGAGCCGUCGGCUGGUAUGGAGUGGAUGGAAAGCUAAAGCAGCCACUAUCGACCAUAUGCUCCCCCGAAUAGCCUUGUUAGUGAACCCCAGCGUAGGUCAGCUUUUAGGUCAUGCUUAUCUGCAUCACAUUGAGACCUAGCGGGACCCACUUGGUCUGUUGUAGGAGACUCACCUCUAAGGCAUCCCUACGUGCUAAAUGUUGCAUCUUUGAGGGUAACGUGGUCAUUUGACGGACUGAUUUGAGGAAAAAUAUGUGCUAGAGGUAAAGUGCGUAGACAAGAAACCGUUUGAAAAAAAAAAAGGUGUUCCGUAGAUUUUAGUGUUCUUUAUGGCUUUUGUUUUCCAUAAUUCAAAAAUUCAAAAAAAAAUCUUUAUUUUCUGCACUCAUUUUUUUAAAAACCAAAACAUCAAAAAGAUUUCUCACUUUGUCUCCUUUAGCAUGUAUUCAUAAUUAGAAAUUUUCAAAAAAAAAAAAAAUAGUAGUUUUUAUAAAAGAAAUUGAAAAAUGGUAGAAGAUUUGUACAUUUCAUAUAGCGAAAAUGUCAAAAAGAUUUUUCUUCAAAAUUGUUGGUGUCAGUUUAGCUGAAGUGUCUAAUUAAAAACCAAAAAAGAUUUUAUUUGUUUGUCUUUGGUUGUGUCUCUUAAGUUAGGGUCAAUCUGUUAGUUAAUCGUUAAUUGUAGAAUCUGGACGAACUACGCACCCCUGAUUCUCCUCUCUCGGGAGUGAGAUACGUAGGCAACCUAUUUUGAUUUCGGGGAUCUUAUUUCAAAAAUUCAAAAAAAGAUUUUCUUCACUCUUCAUUUAGAGUAGAUGUUUCAUGUACAUCUUUAAAAGAAAACAACAAAAAAAUAUUUCCCUUUAAUAGGUUCAGGUUUCAUUUUCGUAUAAAUUCAAAAUCAAAAAUCCAAAAAUAUUUUUUUUGGUAAUCAUAGAUUUCAUUUUGUACAGAAAUCUGAAAAAUUCAAAAAGAUUUUCUUCACUCUUCAUUUAGAGUAGAUGUUUCAUGUACAUCUUUAAAAGAAAACAACAAAAAAAUAUUUCCCUUUAAUAGGUUCAGGUUUCAUUUUCGUAUAAAUUCAAAAUCAAAAACCCUAAAAAACUUUUCUUUGGUAAUCAUGGGUUUCAUUUUGUAUAGGGAUGUUAAGCCUAAAAAAUGCAAACAAAAAAGAUUUUCGUCAAUUCUUUUGACAAUUUGUUAUUUUCUUUUCUUCUUAAAGUUUCAAAAAGAAAAAAAAAGAAAACAAAGAGUUCAAUUGACCGUUUUGGCACGACUUCACGAACUACACACACCUGAUUCUCCUCUCUCGGGGGUGAGAUAUGUAGGUGCCCUUCUUGGGUUCGGUGAUCUUUUCAAGAAAAAAAAAGAGAGAGAGGUUUUGAAAAAUGUUGAACUCUAACAUAUUUGUUGCCUCUUGUUCAGUUAGUUUAAGGUGGUUGGUUUGUGGCUUCCUGGCUGGUCCUCCAUAUCACACCAAAUUCAAGGAGGGGUUAGUUGUGUCCAACAAGGAUAUAGAAAGUGGCAUCAUGGAUGAAACAAAGAGUAAAGAAAUUGAGAAUUUAAAGUAAGAGAAUUUGAGACUAAGACAACAAGUGAUGAAAAUGUAUAGAGCUUGGGCCAGUGGGCUGCCUCCAUCUCUGUUCCCCACUUUUGACCCUGCAAAUACCUUGAGUCUUGUACCAAAAUCGCAAAUUCAAUCUCCGUCUUCUUAUCUACAAUGGUAUGCACCUGUCCCUCAACAUCGUCCUCGACCCCCACGAAUUUACCAAGGAACCUCUAAAUCCAAGUUUCAUCCGAGGCUAGAGUUCACAAAGAGGAGGAAGGAAAAGGAUAAUUUCACUCCUAUUGAGGAUUCCUAUGCUAGUUUAUUCCAGAGAUUGAGAUAGAGGGCCAUGAUUACUCCUCUCCUUGGGUAUACACCUGACCCAUAUUCAAGAAAUUUUGAUCCUAAUGUACGAUGUGCAUAUCAUUAGGAUGUUCAGGGUCAUAGUAGUGAAGAUUGUCGUACUUUGAAAAGAGAAAUAGAAAAGAUAAUUCAAGAUAAAUUGAUUGUGGUGCAAAACAUUGGCCCUUCGACCAUCCCACAGGGUUCUUCACCAGCACGCGGUACUGCACAAUAUGUGGGAGGCAAUGAGUUAAGCAUGGGGAUCCAGAACUUAUUUGUUGAAGAAAAUAUGUCUGACAGUGGUGGAAGCUCUAGUCAUGCUGAUAUGCAAAUCAGUGGCUAAUAUGUCAGGCUGAGCAAUUGAGAAGUCACCCGUCUCCCUACAAGGAAGAGGUCUAGUAGUUUGUUUUCUUUUCUUUUCUAUUUUUUAAAUUAUUUCAGGGUUAUAGUUCGGGAUCUAUCUUGUUUUGUCCCUUUGUCAUUUAUGUUCAAACUUUUUUAUCUUUUGUUUCAAAUAUGUGUUGUUGGUUUGUUUUCUUUAUACAGUACAUUUUAUGUUGAUUCUAGUGAUAUAAUAUGCCUGCAAAAUUUUCAGUCUGAUCUUAAAAUCCCAGCUUAAUCAUGAAGCAUUGAAUCAGAGAGUUAAAGUUAGGAAAAGAGAGCAUAUGAGAAAAUAGAUAGAGUGUUGGGGCAUUUGGUGAUCAAGUUGAAGCCUUCUUUGAAAAUUAAGGCAAUUAUUUUGAGAAUCGUGAGAAUAACUUGGUUAGUAUUUGAAAGACAUGUUUCAAUUAGUUCAAACAGUGGAUGUGCGAUCCUACAUCAAAAGGAAUAGAAAAACUAGCUCCACGAAAGCAUGAGGAAUGUACAACAAAGUGGAGUUGUAUGUUAGGCAAGUGUAGAAAAACAAGUGGCACACAUGCUCGGGGCAAGUUAGUGUUGUAAAACAUUUCAUAAGUGAUCUUGAUCGUGCAAUUUCCCAUUGCAUGCUAUGUACUAGCAUUUUCAAGAAUUAAUAUGACGAAAGCAUUUCAUUCUGCUUUCCAAAUAUUGCGUCAUCCUUUGUUUACCCCCAUUUGGGCCUUAGUGUUAUUUUCUUUCAUACCCCUCUUUUGGAAUCAAGAUAGAGUCAACAAAAUUCAAAAAAUGUAUCGAAAAAGAAAGAAAAGAUGAGUGUCAAGAAAAAUAAAGUCAGAAAAGUCCCAAAGAGAAAAAGAGUCGACAAAAGAAAAAAAUACAAUCAAGUGAAAGAACAAGCUGCCAGAAAUACGCAUGACCUGAUUCUCCUCUCUCGAUAGUGAGAUACGUAGGCUGCCCUACUCAGGGCUCGGUUCCAAGCAAAUAAAUAAUUUAGAAUUGCCCAGUCAAAAACUGGGGCUUGAGUUAAUCCUCAUUGUUUGAGUCGAUUCCAAAAGUUGAAAGUCCUACCCCACUUUUAGUAUUGUUUGGGCCCCAUGCCAUCUUUUAUUUUCAACCCUAUCCAAAAGCCAAGUUACAACCAAAGAAAGACCUUCAGAUCAAUCUUUGAGAAUGUUAAGGCUAAGUAUGCAAUGGAUGUGAUGACACAUUUUGGGAACUACUCGUCUUCCUCAGCAUAAAAAAUCAGGAGAGAAAUAAAAAUGAGAGAGUUUUAUUGGUGAAAACCCUCACGGACACCAUAAGGCGAUGGUAAGUUGAGACAGAUAAAAAUAAAAGAGUAUUAUUGGUGAAAACCCUCAUGGGCACCAUAAGAUGAUGGUGAUUUGAGAGAAAAAUGAGAGAGGCUUGUUGGAGAAAACCCUUCAAGGUGCCACUAGCCGAAUAAGGUCUCUGAAUGCAAUGGGUCUAAGUAAGAAACUCAGUUUCAGGGUCAUUAACUCAACAACAAUUGGUAGAAAGUUUUGAUGAAAAGAUCAGGUUGCUUAAUCCAAAAUGCACAGUAUUAUUAUUAGAGUUGACUGUCAUUUUUAGAUUAAUUUAUUGUUUCUUUGUUUCAAAUGAGGAUAUUUAUUGUCUUUCCUUUCUUUUCUUUAUUUUUGUUUUAUCUUUCUUGAGUCAGUUAUUCAAAUAAAAAAAUUGUCAUUCUUUUUUUUUCUUUUCUUGUCUUUGAGCCAAGUCCAUGUCAAAACAAGUGAGAAAAGAUUUUAAAACUGGCUACCAGUUUCUUCAAUUGUACAAAGCAAGACAAAAGGGACAGCACAUGAAAAGACAUGAUUGUGAGCCGAAAUAAGGCAUACAAAAAUUAUGUCAAUAGACAAGUUUGGGAACUCAUGAAAAUACCAAGGUUCAAAGGGUUUAUAUGAUGAGCAUGGCGAAGCAGAGAUACCGUGUUUGUUUCAGAGUCACUCUUAAUAAUCUGAGUUUGGGUCAACGAUGCAGCAAGUCAAUGAUAAAUGCUUAUGGUUGGAAGCAAGGUUAAAUGUGAUGGGGCAAGAGCGAUCGUCGUGGAAGCUAAAGCCACAAACCAGCCACCGUGUUUUAAACUCACAAGUUUUCUUUGAUGAAAUAGGAAACAUAUUACCUUCAAUGCAAGGACUUCAGAGCAUAAAUAUCUAGGCCUGCAAUGCCUCACUUUUAAAUAUGCAUGAAGCAAUGUUGCUGCAAAGGUUUGGUAAUCAAAUCAUGGUAAAAUUCAUCAUCUUAUAUCCCUCGGAGACACACUUUUUUAUCCAGGGAUGUCAGUUUUCAUUUGCUGGGUGAUACACUUCUUAAAUUGAUCCUUCACUCCUAAAAGACGUACCUUUUAGUCGAGUCAUUCCCUUUGAUUCCUAUAAGACGUACCUUUUAGUCGAGUCAUCCCCUUUGACCCCUAAAAGACGUACCUUUUAGUAGAGUCAUUUCCUUUGAUUAAGACGUACCUUUUAGUAGAGUCAUUUCCUUUAAUUCCUAUAAGACGUACCUUUUAGUCGAGUCAUUCCUCUUGACCCCUAGAAGAUGUACCUUUUAGUCGAGUCAUUCCUUUGAUUCUUAUAAGACGUACCUUUUAGUUGAGUCAUUCCUCUUGACCCUUAGAAGACGUACCUUUUAGUAGAGUCAUUUCCUUUAAUUCCUAUAAGACGUACCUUUUAGUCGAGUCAUUCCUCUUGACCCCUAGAAGACGUACCUUUUAGUCGAGUCAAUUUCCCUGAUUCCUAUAAGACGUAUCUUUUAGUCGAGUCAUUCCCUUGAUUUCUAUAAGACGUACCUUUUAGUCGAGUCAUUCCCUUUGAUUCUUAUAAGACUUACCUUGUAGUCUAGUCAUCUCCCUUGAUUCCUAUAAGAUGUACCUUUUAGUCGAGUCAUUCCCCUUGAGGCCUUAACCCAUAGAAAACGUACCUUUUAGUUGAGUCAUCUCCCUUGAUUCCUAUAAGACGUACCUCUUAGUCGAGUCAUUUCCUUUGAUUUCUAUAAGACGUACCUUUUAGUUGAGUCAUCACCCCUUGAUUCCUAUAAGACAUACCUUACUUUCACAAAAGUCCUUUGAUGAUAAACUGGGGCAAAAUUUAAUUCUUGUUUUUGGAACUUUACUUUUCUGGCAAACGAAAUUUCUCUUUAUGAUAAUCUUUGUUUGGGAUAAUUUUUUUUCAGUUUUGAUAUGAUUUCAAGAGCCCGCCUGAAGAACAAGGUGAUGAGAUAGAAAGUCAGGAGCCCACCUGAAGAACAGGGGUGAUGAAAUGGCAAGUCAGGAACCUACCUGAAGAAUAGGGUGAUUAAAUAGUAAGUCAGGAGCCCAACUGAAAAACAGGGCGGAUAAAUGGAAAAUCAAGAACAAGGUGAAAAAGUUGAAAAGACAAGCAACAAGGUGAAGCAAUUGAAAGCCAAGCAACAAGUUGAAGAAAUUGCAAAUCAGGAGCCCGCCUGAAGAAUAGGGUGAUGAAACUCAAGUCAAGAGUCCAAAAGAAGAUGCAUAGAUAGGAUUUUUGUAAUUCCAUUUAUGUUUUUAACUCGUAAUUUUCAUUUUGAUGUAAUGACAGAGCUGUGGACCGGAACCUCGAUGGAACCUCACUCGACUCUCCAACUUAGUAUAGUCCUUCUCUUUCAAAUAUUUUGAAAUACCGGUCACUUGAUUCAUUCAUAACUUGGGUAGAUAGGUUGUCCUAAGUCAGGACUCGGUUGUCAUUCUUCCUUCUGUUCCUUCCUUUGAAUAAUGGUCGGGUCAAAAUUCUAUCUCAUUGUCUACUAUUUUGUCUGAAAACACUUCGUGUUUACAUUCAAAGGGGGCAUGAUGUAGACACCUAAUUUUGUCCCUCCCGAAGACCCAAGUUACACAUUUUUAUCCUCGUCUUACCACGCGCCCUACGCCAUGUAAUUAUCCCUACACAAAAUGACAAAAAUAAUAAUCCUUAAAAAAUUUUAUCUUUGUUCUAACAAACUCCCCAAUUAAAAGCGGACACCUCACCACCCCACUACCCCAUCCACGUGACCCCCCCUCCUCACAUUUCUUAACCACAAAGGAAAAGAAAAACGGACAGCUGUACAAAGUUGAGGCCAUUUUUUCUCUCUUUUGGAUUUGAGAGGAACAAAACAUACAAUAUAUUUCUCAGGGGGCCCACAAAUUUCCUUCGAUUAGAAAUACCCUCACAAGUCAUCUUCUUCAGAUGGACAAUCUUCAUAUUCAUGCACCAGCUCACUGAAACAAUACUAAUACACACUCCAGCGAGAGAGAUAUAGACGCACACACGCAGAGAGAAUCGGGAGAGAGCGAAUAAAAAAGGGGCCUGAACAGUGGUCGGCUAGCGUGAAUAGUAAACGCUGAACAGAGUAGGGUGAAGAACAGCUUUUCUCGGUGAGCUUGUCACCGGAAUAGUGCCUCAUUGUAGAGUCCGUCCACUCCUCCCUAAAACCCAAUUGAAACCAGCUUCAAACCCCCUAAAAUCAUGAUGCCAGUGCCCGACUACUCCGUCGCCACCAUUGUUACUGUUUUGGUGAUGGAGUUUUCGCCUGGAAUGCGCCAAAUCGGUCAAAAUCGUCCCAAAAAUAUCAAGAAAACAGUGAGUUCACCUUGGGUUUUUGACAAUUAAGUUAGAGGUCUAUUUGUGGUAUUGGUAAAAAAUGGAACAAAAGAGAUAUAUCGAAGUUGGAGUUAUUCGUUUGGUGAGGCUCGAUCCGAGAUUAUGGACGCGGUCCAAAUGAAAGGAGCAACUUUAAUCUAAAGCAACAUUUGAGGUUCAAUUCUAUCUUCUCUAUUUUUAUUUAGUUUUUAACAUAAUUAUGAAUGAUUUAUGUGUUUGGCAUGUUUGAAUCUUAGUGAUGUGUGGGUUGAUGUUGGAUUUGGAUAUGAAAACUUGAUCGGUGGAUUGUAUAUUGAAUUGGUUUAAUCGUGUUAAAAAAGUUGGGGCGCGAAUUGAAAAUUUGCUAAAUUGAAUUAGGAUUAAUUUUGAUUUAUUGUUAUUUUGAUUCAUUAACGUCGUCGAUCGUGAUUGUUCCAUGAUAGGUCAAGUUAGGUAGGCAAAAGUAGGUUGGGUAGGCAAAGUUUAGGAUCUGUGAUUGUUGAAAUGAUGAAAUAUUUGUGGAGUGGUUUCGAUUUAUGCAUUGGGAUCUAUUGUAUUCAUUUGGCCGGGUAAUGCCCCGAGGGAUUUGUAUUGAUUCACCGGGGAAUGUCCCGACGUAUCAUGUAUUCGGAGGACGUCCGUGAUGAAGGCCCAAAGCAUCGGGUUAGGUAUUGGAUCGUAGUUUAGGAUUAGUGUAGAUUAGCGUAGGUUUAUUUUUCAGUACAUUUUUUUUUUCAUUUCGGGUUGUAAUAAUUGGACUGGACAUUAUUAUUUUGGCUUUUGGAUUGUUGUUUGAUGUUUGUUUAUAUGCUUUGUGUGGUUUAUACAUUUGUGGUGUCUAAUUAGCCGAUACUCUCCACCAAGAGACCGUGGUCGAGCCACGGGACCGAGGGGUGCCUAACACCUUUUCCUUGGUCAACAGAAUUCCUUAGUCGGAAUCUCUGUUCGCGGAUCAAUUUUACAGAGUGAAAAUCAUUUUGAAAAAAGUUUUCCAAAGGUGACUUGGCAUACCUGAUUAUGCCAAGUGGCGACUCUGAGUUUUGAAUAUAAAUAAUCUUUUUCAAAAUAAAUUUUUAUUUUUUGUCACUUUGAUAAUAAAAAUCCUUUCAAACUUAAAACAAAAUCUUUUUUUGUUAAAAAAAGGGUGUGACAAGGAAAAGGAAAAAGAAAAAGAAAUAGAAGAAAAAGAAAAGAAAAGGAAAAAAUAAAAAAGGAAAAAUGAAUAUUAAGGAAUAAAAAUCUGCCACUAAGAUGGUAUGACACGCGUCAUCUGCCUCAUUCAGUGUUCGGUCAUGUGGAUUUUAAAUUGUCAUAGUGAAAAAAUAUUUAAUAAAUCAGUAAUUUUUGUUAAGUUUCAUACUAAGUUGAAUGUAUUGAGCCUAUAUAAUUAGAGAAAAACUUAAUUAAUAAACAAAAGUAAGAGGUAUUUUUGCAAGAACACAAGGAUAAUCAAUAAUGAAGUGUGAAAUAAAGAACAUAAGUGAAUAUAAAGAAACCAUAGCCGGUGGGAAAAAGGGAGAUCUUAUAUCAACAAUUUUGAGGUGGGGUUGGUACUGUGGGGUAGUAGAGAGGGGUAUUCACGGGUUGGUUUAGGCUGAUUAUUGGUCAAAAUCAAAAUCAAAUCAAUAUACUAAGUUUUAAAUUAUUAAAACCAAAUCAUACCAAAUAUAAUAUAUAUUUAUUGAUUUGGUUGUUAUCGAUUUAGGUUCGUUUUGAUUCAAUUGUUUGAUUAUUAAUCAAAUACGAAAUAAAAGAAAUGAUUCAUUCAAAAGAAAAAAAAAAAAAAGACAACAAUUCAUUCAAAAGAACGAAAAAUUCUAGGAUUACCAUAUAAAUCGUUAACAUGACGUAUAUCUAAUACAACAUAUUUAAGUUAUAAAUAAAUUUUGAUGAAAACAUAUAUAAGAUAUUAAAAAUUAUUAUUAAUAAGCAAUUUAUGAUAUAUAAAUAAUUAUAAAAAAUAUAUAUAUAAAUUUUGAGUUCGGUUCGGUUAUUUCGUUGAUUUCUUUUGACAAAAUCAAAACAAGUCAAAUAUUAUUGAUUUUCAAAUAUGUAAAAUCAAACCAAAUAAGAUUCAAUUUUAUUAGCAUAAUUCAAUUUUUUUUUUUAAUUUGAGUCAGUUUUUACACAAACCUUGAACAUCCUUAGAGGUAGAGUGAGAAAAAAAAAAGAGAGAAAAGGGAAAAGAAAAAGAGAAAAGGGAAAAGAAAAAGAAAAAAAGAAAAAAGAAGAAGAAAUUAAAGAACAAGAAAGGAAAAGGAAAAAGAAAAAGAAAAGAAAAUAAAAGAAAAAAUGAAUAUUAAAGAAUAAAAAUCUAACACUGAGAUGGUAUAUUACAUGGAAUUUAUUUCAUCAAAUGUCAAGUCAUGUGGAUUUUAACUUGUUAUGGUAGAAAAUUGUUUAAAAAAUAAAUAUUUUUGUUAAGUUUCAUAAUGAGAGAGAUGUAUAAUAGUCUUAUGAUAUAAACACAAACUUAAUUAAUAAACGAAUGUAAGGAUGUAACAAGAACACAUGGAUAAUCAAUACUGACAUGUGCAAUAGGGGAUAUAGGUGGAUAUGAAGAACCUUAGCUGGUGUGGGAAAGAGCGGAUAUGACACCAAUAAUUUUGAGACAGAGAAAGAGAAAAGAAAAAGAAGAAAAGGAAAAAAGAAAAAGAAAAAGAAGAAAAAUGAAAAAAGAAUACUAACAAAUAAAAAUUUGACACUGAGGUCGUAUGCCGCGUGGCAUCCACAUCACACAAAUGUUAGGUCAUGUGAAUUUUAAAUUGUCAUGAUGGAAAGGUAUUUUUAUUAAGUUUCAUAAUGAGGGAUGUAUUUGAUCCUAUAACAUAACUGGAGAUAAACCUAAUUAAUAAAUGAAGAUGUAUUUUUGACAGUUUUCCUUAAAAAAUUGGUGUUCAUGGUUCCUUUGGAUCGAUUUUAGAUUAAAAUCAAAAAUCAAACUAAUUUAAUCAAUUUUUUAAUUUUUAAAAUCAAACCAAAUAAAGCAAAAAUCAUUGGUUUGGUUAUUUUCUAUGUGGUUCGAUUUUUUGUUUAUAACUAGCUAAUGAUGAAUGGAGAAUUGAAAAAUUACAGAGACAUGAAACAACUAUGUCAAAUACAUUAAUUAGGAUUUAAUAAAAUUUUCUCUACUAUCACAAAAUAAAUAUAUGUGAAUAUUCUUAUUUUUUAGCACUAUUCCAAAGAUUAAAUAUUUUUAAUUUGUAAAAUAGUAGAUGUUACUCUAGUUCACAUGUCUAACAUGCACAAAAACAAUGUACAAUUUAAAUAGAAUGAUCAACUCUUUAAAAAUGGAUGCAUGUCUUAGCAAAAAAAAAAAGAAACAAUCUAAAAACAAAAAAUACACCAGACUACAUAUAGAUAAUUAAACUUAGAGUAUUGGGCUUGAGCAAAAACUUUAAGAAAUGAAUUCUAAAAGUGUUAGUAGUGCAUGUGAAAUAAGUACAUUAAAAUUCAAUCAAUGAUUAAAAGGUAUAAAAUACUUAUAUUAUUUAUAAAAAACUAAUAUCAUUUAUUUAAAUAAUUUUAACAUUUAUAUAAAUAAUUUAUAGAUUUGUUUUUUUUUUUUAGCAAAUCAAAAUCAAAUCAACUAUUAUAGAUUUUUGAAAUUUAAAUCAAAUAUCAGUUUUUUAAUCAAUCGAUUUGAUUUGACAUAUAAUUUUUGUUUGUGUAUGUGGUAAAUAAGAUAAACAGAUGUAACAUUCGAACGAGUGAACACAGAGAUCUGGGAGGAUUGGUUCUUCGAGAAGGCAUCCUUGAUAAAGGAAGAGAAAGCACAUUAAGGUCAAGGGAGGGCUCAAACACCAAUGCAUGGACAAAGAGACAAGGGAGACAAAGUGUUAGACGGAUAAGGCGCGCCGACAAGCACAUAAAGAUCUAAGCGUUGCUGGAAUAUUAGCUGGCAUCACUAACGACAUUACUACGUAGUCUUCUACCAUUAGUUUUAGUACUUUAGGGCUCGAUUGUGCUUUUUAUUGUCUAGUGUCUCACCAUUAUAACCUACUAAUAGUUUACUUCAAACAGCUGUAAGGACAUUCUGAAUUCUAGCAAGACAACAUCGAUAUACUAUUUCUUGAGCAUCAAGCUUGUCUUUAAUUUAAUUACUUUUAAUUUUUUAUCUAGCAUAUUGGUUCAAGGACACCUUCGAAGCUACGAUUGACUUCUUAGAGAAGUCCACAAAUAUGUUAAAUCGAACGCUCGAAUCUAUAAUCUUU